rnacentral:tRNA from 1 species
GCCUCGGUAGCUCAGCGGCCAGAGCGCAGACCCCUCCUCUCCGAAAGAAGGGUCGCUCAGUUGCCUUGUAAGCAAGAAGUCGAGGGUUCAAAUCCCUCCCGAGGCU